rnacentral:rRNA from 1 species
CACGUAGGGGGCAAGCGUUGUUCGGAAUUAUUGGGCGUAAAGGGCAUGUAGGCGGUUUUGUAAGCCUGGUGUGAAAUCCUGCAGCUUAACUGUAGAAUUGCAUUGGGUACUGCGAGACUUGAAUCACAGAGGGGAAACUAGAAUUCCAGGUGUAGGGGUGGAAUCUGUAGAUAUCUGGAAGAAUACCGGUGGCGAAGGCGGGUUUCUAGCUGAUGAUUGACGCUGAGGUGCGAAAGUGCGGGGAGCAAACAGGAUUAGAUACCCUGGUAGUCCGCACCGUAAACUAUGUACACUAGGUGUAGGGGCAUGAGUCUCUGUGCCAAAGCUGACGCAAUAAGUGUACCGCCUGGGAAGUAUGCUCGCAAGGGUGAA